rnacentral:sRNA from 1 species
CAGCGUUCACGAGACAAAGUCUCGUGAGCCAACUAGAACCCCUGGUUCUGGUGACGACGACUAACUGGUAUUCCCCAUGCGUGGGAAGUCUCGCCGUUUACGGCGAGGAGGAUGUCACGUCUCCGUAC